UAUUAAGCCUUAAAAAACUUGAACAGUUAAACCUUACUCCGAAGGUUGGCACUGGGCCUUUAGAAUAUAUUUGCUGCUUUUUACUGUAUUCUCAAGUAAUUUUUUACAUUAAAAUAUAAAACAGCUUUUAUCACGCGGACAUUAAAUGUUUUCCUGUGAAGCCACGUCAGUGUCUCCCUCGGCUGUGCUCGAGGGGGAUGUUCCAACAGUCCUACUUGGUUCAGGUGAAGAUUGCUGCAACGAGACAGGAUGUUGUUGUAUAUUUCUUUGUUACAAACUGAAGCAGUCCAAACCCCACCCAUAGCAAAUUAAGCAAAGCAUAGUUUAAAAAUGAAUAUCUGGAUAAUAAUGUAUUUAAAAAUUCCAGCUGCUGUUAAUAUGACUCAAAUGUCCGCAGAAACUUAAAUAUUUAGAGACAAUUUUUAUGAAAUACAUUUUCUCAGAAAGUUCCCUAUAAUUCAAGCAAUGCAUUGGGAAUUCUGCCUUUUCAAAAUCACAUGGUAUAUGUAGUUGUUGCGUAUUUUCUAGUUUAAAAAGCAAUUUUAUGUGGUACUGUCUGGUGAUCAACAAUGUAAAAACAGUAUAUAAUGUAUAAUCAGAAGAGCUUAAAUCUGAGCUGCCAUUGGUUUGUAAAAGUGUGUACAUUUAAUAGGCAAAAGAGUUUGAAUGAAUGUGAUAUAUGUGAAGUGAAUAUAUUAUAGUCUAUUUUUUGCCA
rnacentral:lncRNA from 1 species